UGGAUGUGAUGAAUGUUAGUCUGAAACCCAUGAUGAACCUUUUUGCACAAUUCCUCUAGAUAGUCAAGUACUGAUCCAG